rnacentral:rRNA from 1 species
UGGGGAAUAUUGGACAAUGGGCGAAAGCCUGAUCCAGCCAUGCCGCGUGUGUGAAGAAGGUCUUCGGAAUGUAAAGCACUUUAAGUUGGGAGGAAGGGCAGUAAGCGAAUACCUUGCUGUUUUGACGUUACCGACAGAAUAAGCACCGGCUAACUCUGUGCCAGCAGCCGCGGUAAUACAGAGGGUGCAAGCGUUAAUCGGAAUUACUGGGCGUAAAGCGCGCGUAGGUGGUUCGUUAAGUUGAAUGUGAAAGCCCCGGGCUCAACCUGGGAACUGCAUCCAAAACUGGCGGUCUGGAGUAGGUCAGAGGGUGGUGGAAUUUCCUUUGUAGCGGUGAAAUGCGUAGAUAUAGGAAGGAACACCAGUGGCGAAGGCGACCACCUGGGCUCAUACUGACACUGAGGUGCGAAAGCGUGGGGAGCAAACAGG